rnacentral:lncRNA from 1 species
AAAGGUUUAAUAGCAUAUAGAAGAUAUGGCACCUGUGAAAUAGGAAAUAGGCUACAUAUGUCGACCCCCCACCUCACCCCAGUAUUUGCUUCACUCUCUUCCAGGGUUCUGUUCUGGUUCACAAUUGGGUGGGUACACAGCCUCAUGUUGCAGUGCAUAUUGGUUCUUGAGGGGUUUCUUUUUGGCUUCUCACUUGAGACAGGGUCUCCUCGUGUAGCCUCCGGUUGGUCUUGAACUGCCACAACGGCUGGACAGUGUUCUGAUAAUCUGCCACCCACUUUUUCAAGUGCUGAGAUUACAGGGCUGUGCCCACCACAUCAGGUCCAGCUCCCAUUAUUGUCCUGUCAUUGUCCAUUCUAUCUAUCUGAGCUACAUUCUACCCCUCCCUGGCCUCUUGAAAGGGGUGUUUAAUAGACCCUUUAAAAAGCAAAGUGAGUUUCCCACAGCUCAGACCACUACUGACCAAUUGGCGCAGGUGAGCACACACCUGGUCAAUUAAGUGGCUGUAUGUGUCUCAUCUCUGAAGGCAAAAUUUGCUUUUGCUUCACCCACUUCUCCUCUCCUGUUGCAUUCUGCGUUCCCAGGAUCAUGGCUGAGAUUAUACAAAAAGGACAGUUAAAACCCUGGGGAUGGGGGAGGGGAGGGCUCAAGAGUUUAGAAAACUCUCCAUGACCCAUCCUUGGGAUUCAAACGUAAGGGUCAAAGAUCUUCUGGGUCAUGCUUGGGGAGUGCUGAAGUCUUGGUGUAUCUCGUUUAUUCUCCUCCUUUUCCUCCUCCUCUUCCUCUGUCUCCUCCUGCCCAUCACUGAUCUUCUCCUUUCCAGUCCACGUUUCCUGGAGACAAGCUAGUUUUCAGUGGCUGGGAGCACAUGACGGUCCGCAGAGAAAAUGCUGCAGGGGCUGCUCCUGAUGGUGAAAGUACCAGUCUCCCACGACGUCUUCAAACUCCUCCAGCAUCGCCUCACACUGGAACGUGACCUCCACACUGGGCUUCGUCCCACAUUGUCCAAAGGGAUUCCAAGAUCCACUUUCACUCCCUUCUGUACCAGGCCUUUCAGUGUUGCCAGGGUCUGACUUUGACCCUAAGGGACGAAAAAUUUGGUUGAGCCCUUUCGUUCAGCAUGAACGUUGUAAUCCAGGAUCCGCUCACACAAAUUCUCCAAAGCCUCCUCCAGCCUUGUCUCGCGGCUGUAAGGCACGUGUCUCUUCCUCUUGCCUGUGUCUAGCACCUGACCCAGCUCCAGCACUUCUCGGGAUCGCCAGUUCGACGCAACUCUUCCGCAACUGCUCCAUUUCUGUACCUUCGCAUUUGCUGGGCAAACGUUCUGUAUCAGCUUCUUCUUCUUUUGUCAUUCCAGUCCAAGCACCGGACGCUGCCAGGAUGAAAAGCAGUAUUUCCAACCGCACAGGUCCCAUGAC